CUAACGAAAAUCGUUAGUUUAUGGGGACAUAACCCCGUAGACCUAGAACGUCUUUAAACUCGUAAAGGAGAAAAAAAAUG
ncrna:unclassified sequences freshwater-2 RNA